rnacentral:ncRNA from 1 species
UCUUUUCUUUUCUAAAAUGGUUUAUAAAAAUAAUUAUAAAUAUAAGAAAACAGAUUAAUUUAUUUUUAUAAAUAAAGCUUGGCUCUGACUUAAAAAUAUAGCAUUAGCAAAGGAAUACACAUGGUUUUGGUUGAUAGUAGUGAGGCUUAAAAACAAACAAAAUAUAGCAGAAAGCAUUUUUUUGUUUGUUUUUAAAGGUAUUAUUUUAUAAAUAAUUCCAAGAUUGUACCACUAUACACCAGUGUCAAAUAUUAAUAUAGGAGUGAAAGCUCGCUUUAGAUUAGCUAAGAGAUUUGGUUAAUUUGGUGCCAGCAUCCGCGGUUAGACCAAAAAAUCAAGCUAUAUAAUAUAGGUAAAAAGAUAGUUAAACUAAAACUUGGUUUCAAGAUUUUUUAUUUAGAAGUAAAAUUUGAGAAUAAAAAAUUAUUUUAGUUGUAGCCUAAAUGUUGAAGCUAUGAUAAUUUAGAAAUAAACUAGGAUUAGAUGCCCUAUUAUCCUAAAUUGUAAAUUUAUAUAAUUAUAUAUUACCAGAGUACUACGAGUUCAAAAAACUUAAAACUCAAAGGGCUUGGCGGUACUUCAUACCCUUUAGGGGAACCUGUCUCGUAAUCGACAAUCCACGUUACACCUUACCUUAUUUAGUAACUCAGUUUGUAUACCGUUGUCGUUCAGGUAACUUUUAAAAAUAUAGAAGUUAGCAAAAAAGAAAUUAAUCUUAGACGUCAAAUCAAGGUGCAGCCUAUAAAAAGGAGAGGAUGGGUUACAAUUAAUAAUUAUAAUUACGGAAUAAAGAUUUAAACACUUUAUGAAGGAGGACUUGAAAGUAAAAAUUUAUAGAUAAAAUUUUUGAAUUCGGCUCUGAAGUGUGCACACAUCGCCCGUCGCUCUCGUUGAAAAAUGAGAUAAGUCGUAACAUAGUAGGAGUAAUGGAAAUUGCUCCUGGAUG